UACGAGAGGUCCAAACGUUAUUCGGAAUCACUGGGCUUACAGAGUUCGUAGGCGGUUCUACAAGUGGGGGGUGAAAGCCCUCGGCUCAACCGAGGAACUGCGCUCCAAACUGUAGAACUAGAGGAAGAUAGAGGUGAGCGGAACUGAUGGUGGAGCGGUGAAAUGCGUUGAUAUCAUCAGGAACACCGGAGGCGAAGGCGGCUCACUGGGUCUUUUCUGACGCUGAGGAACGAAAGCUAGGGGAGCAAACGGG
rnacentral:rRNA from 1 species